rnacentral:rRNA from 1 species
UGGGGAAUAUUGCACAAUGGAGGGAACUCUGAUGCAGCGACGCCGCGUGAACGAAGAAGGCUUUCGAGUCGUAAAGUUCUUUUAUAUGGGAAGAUAAUGACGGUACCAUAAGAAAAAGCCCCGGCUAACUACGUGCCAGCAGCCGCGGUAAUACGUAGGGGGCUAGCGUUGUCCGGAAUCACUGGGCGUAAAGGGUUCGCAGGCGGAAAUGCAAGUCAGGUGUAAAAGGCAGUAGCUUAACUACUGUAAGCAUUUGAAACUGCAUAUCUUGAGAAGAGUAGAGGUAAGUGGAAUUUUUAGUGUAGCGGUGAAAUGCGUAGAUAUUGGGAGGAACACCGGUGGCGAAGGCGGCUAUCUGGACAGUAACUGACGCUGAGGCGCGAAAGCGUGGGGAGCAAACAGG